AGUCUGCGUGGAGCCAACCUUGAAAUACCACCCUUUAAUGUUUGAUGUUCUAACGUUGGCCCCUGACCGGGGUUGCGGACAGUGUCUGGUGGGUAGUUUGACUGGGGCGGUCUCCUCCCAAAGCGUAACGGAGGAGCACGAAGGUUAGCUAAUCCUGGUCGGACAUCAGGAGGUUAGUGCAAUGGCAUAAGCUAGCUUGACUGCGAGCGUGACGGCGCGAGCAGGUGCGAAAGCAGGUCAUAGUGAUCCGGUGGUUCUGAAUGGAAGGGCCAUCGCUCAACGGAUAAAAGGUACUCCGGGGAUAACAGGCUGAUACCGCCCAAGAGUUCAUAUCGACGGCGGUGUUUGGCACCUCGAUGUCGGCUCAUCACAUCCUGGGGCUGAAGUAGGUCCCAAGGGUAUGGCUGUUCGCCAUUUAAAGUGGUACGCGAGCUGGGUUUAGAACGUCGUGAGACAGUUCGGUCCCUAUCUGCCGUGGGCGCUGGAGAAUUGAGGGGGGCUGCUCCUAGUACGAGAGGACCGGAGUGGACGCAUCACUGGUGUUCGGGUUGUCAUGCCAAUGGCACUGCCCGGUAGCUAAAUGCGGAAGAGAUAAGUGCUGAAAGCAUCUAAGCACGAAACUUGCCCCGAGAUGAGUUCUCCCUGAGACUU
rnacentral:rRNA from 1 species